rnacentral:rRNA from 1 species
UGAACGCUGGCGGAAUGCUUUACACAUGCAAGUCGAACGGCAGCACGGGGGCAACCCUGGUGGCGAGUGGCGAACGGGUGAGUAAUAUAUCGGAACGUGCCCAGUCGUGGGGGAUAACGUAGCGAAAGUUACGCUAAUACCGCAUACGAUCUACGGAUGAAAGCGGGGGAUCGCAAGACCUCGCGCGAUUGGAGCGGCCGAUAUCAGAUUAGGUAGUUGGUGGGGUAAAGGCUCACCAAGCCAACGAUCUGUAGCUGGUCUGAGAGGACGACCAGCCACACUGGAACUGAGACACGGUCCAGACUCCUACGGGAGGCAGCAGUGGGGAAUUUUGGACAAUGGACGCAAGUCUGAUCCAGCCAUUCCGCGUGCAGGAUGAAGGCCCUCGGGUUGUAAACUGCUUUUGUACGGAACGAAAAGGUUUCUAUUAAUACUAGGAGCUCAUGACGGUACCGUAAGAAUAAGCACCGGCUAACUACGUGCCAGCAG